UACAUUGUCAGUGACGCCAAACAUAUUUGCUUUUGCAAAUUAGUACCAUAUAAACAUAAAUUCUAUGGAAACAAGGUGGUGAAGGUAGGGUGAGCAUGCAUGCUCAUUUUCAACACAACCUUCCUCAUCAUUUAUUCAGGUGAACUGUACAGUAGAUGUUCACACCUGGGAGCUGCCCAACCACUGCCACUGCUGGCGUGUGAACACUUAAUAAGGGUUCAGAGAGCAUUACUCAUUCCCUUUCCCUGGCCAAACCUUCCCAGCUGCUUCAGGAAAUCAAACCGGCACCUUCUUGAUCAUAAACUUGCUUUUGUUACCUGCCUGCUUGUUUCAUAUGCUGUAUGAUCCUGCUUAUGUUUGAACCUCUGACUUCUUAAAAACAAGCUCUGGGCUUAGUACUGGUGCACUGGUGACACGUGUCCACUUACAACAUGUCAGCAGUGUCUUCAAGUUCAUGUUCAAAACUUUACUGGCAUGUCAGCCAAGUUGAUAGGAAGGUGCAGACCUAGUCAGUCGCCUCUCCGGCGAGUACAGAGGCUGCCCUGUCAGAUCUUUGCAAAGACUUGAACUGCUCACAGACUACUGUGCUCAUUGUUGCUGGAGACUUCAAUCAGGCUAACCUUAAGAAGGUUAUGCCUGACUUUCAUUGACUUAUUGAUUGUGCCACAAGGGGAAUAAACACUCUGGAUCACUGCUACACGGCAUUCAAAAAUGGCUACAGAGCGGAAUUGCUACCUGUGUUCAGGAAGAGCGACCAUGCAGCCAUCUUGCUGAGGUCAAAAUAUCAGAGCCAAUCAGAGGCUGCCCUGCAGGGUGCACUACAUAACGCAAUCUGGAAGACCAUCAUCGAUGUCACAGAGUGGUGGCUGUGGUGGAUUUAAUUUGUGAAACAACACACACAACUGUACCCAAAACUACAGUAAAAUAAUUCCACAACCAGAAACCAUGGAUUACCAGAACCAUGCGGGAUGCCAUCCCUCUCCUUGCUGAUGCAUCUCUAGCAAAUGAGCACAACUUUUAUGCUUGUUUUGAGGCCAUCGGCAGCCAGCAAGCAAAAACAGCUCAAGCAGAGGUUAAUGGAUAGGUGGGUGCACCUUUCACACCUAUCACCCUUUUUGAGCAUGACAUCAGGAGGGCUUUCAAGCGUGUGAACACAAGAAAGCAGCAGGACCAGACAGUAUCAGUGGGCGGGUCCUCAAACUAUGUGCUGACCAACUAGCGCUGGUGUUCACAAUGGCAUGCAACCUGUCCCUGACUCAAUCUGUCAUACCCAUGUGCUUCAAGAAGUCCACAAUCAUUCCUGUGCCCGAGAAAACAAGACCAGUCUGCCUGAACAACUACCGCCCAGCGUCACUCACCUCUAUAGUGAUGAAGUGCUUUGAACGACUGGUCAAGGAUUACAUCUGCUCCUCACUACCUAGCACACUGGAUCCACUACAGUUUGCCUACCGUCCCAACCAAUCAAUGGAAGAUGCCAUAGUACACAUCCUCCACAUCACCUUAUCUCACCUGGACAAAAAAGGGAGCUAUGUGAGAUUACUGUUCAUUGACUAUAGUUGAGCAUUUAACACCACAGUUCCUUCCAGGCUCGUCAUCAAGCUCAAGGACUGAGAGGGGUCUUCCUGCAGGGCUCCUCUGUGGAGUCUCUUCUGAUGCAGGCUCCGCUUUCAAGUCAGCUCCACUGUCAGGACAGAAACCUUUCCCAGUCAAUAAAUCCUGGACCAUGGAAAGAGACAACUGGUUUGGAAAUAGAGAUGGACAUGUCAGCUUUGCGAAAAUGGUGGUGUGUUAUGCUAAUGGAGAACUUUGACUUUGGAAGGUGAGACCACAAAAAUUUUGACAUUUGAUUACACAGCACUGUCUCACUGUUUAUACUAUGGUACAUUUAUUUUUUCUUUGUGUAACCCUUUUUGUUUGAGCCAUGGCAAAAUGUUUGCCCAUUGGAUGUAGACAUCAAAAGCCCUCCUUCAAGAUGAGGUGCCACCAGUGUUCAGACUGAAAAAAAGGAAUUUGGAUGACAUCACUGAGGACAGAGUGGAGCCCAGGACCAUACAUGACUACAAAAAGGCAGCAGAAUGGUUUAAAGCAAACCAGCAUGUGUUUUCAGCCCAAGUGGAGUUGCCCAGUGUACUGAUAAUGGGGGAAGAGGAAUUGGCAGAGGCUGCACAGCUGUAUGGAAAAUUUUGGGUUGAGGAAACAUGAGGGCCUGGACAACCAUGAGAGCCAUCUUGGAGAGAUUCAAGUUUGUAUUUUACAACGUUGAAGACAUGUGGGAGUUUGUGAAGAAAUUAAAGAUAGCCAGUGGUAUUUGUUGUACUGUGAAUGGUGGAUGGACAACAACUAAUGACUCUGAAUACAAGUAGUAGCACACCACUAUUGUUGUGAUAUGUUGUGUUUGCUGAAUAAAGGGCAACAGAAUGUUU